GGUUAAGCGACUAAGCGUACACGGUGGAUGCCCUGGCAGUCAGAGGCGAUGAAGGACGUGCUAAUCUGCGAUAAGCGCCGGUAAGGUGAUAUGAACCGUUAUAACCGGCGAUUUCCGAAUGGGGAAACCCAGUGUGAUUCGUCACACUAUCAUUAACUGAAUCCAUAGGUUAAUGAGGCGAACCGGGGGAACUGAAACAUCUAAGUACCCCGAGGAAAAGAAAUCAACCGAGAUUCCCCCAGUAGCGGCGAGCGAACGGGGAGGAGCCCAGAGCCUGAAUCAGCAUGUGUGUUAGUGGAAGCGUCUGGAAAGGCGCGCGAUACAGGGUGACAGCCCCGUACACAAAAGCGCAUGUGCUGUGAGCUCGAUGAGUAGGGCGGGACACGUGGUAUCCUGUCUGAAUAUGGGGGGACCAUCCUCCAAGGCUAAAUACUCCUGACUGACCGAUAGUGAACCAGUACCGUGAGGGAAAGGCGAAAAGAACCCCGGCGAGGGGAGUGAAAAAGAACCUGAAACCGUGUACGUACAAGCAGUGGGAGCACAGGUUUACCUGUGUGACUGCGUACCUUUUGUAUAAUGGGUCAGCGACUUAUAUUCUGUAGCAAGGUUAACCGUAUAGGGGAGCCGGAGGGAAACCGAGUCUUAAUUGGGCGUUAAGUUGCAGGGUAUAGACCCGAAACCCGGUGAUCUAGCCAUGGGCAGGUUGAAGGUUGGGUAACACUAACUGGAGGACCGAACCGACUAAUGUUGAAAAAUUAGCGGAUGACCUGUGGCUGGGGGUGAAAGGCCAAUCAAACCGGGAGAUAGCUGGUUCUCCCCGAAAGCUAUUUAGGUAGCGCCUCGUGAAUUCAUCUCCGGGGGUAGAGCACUGUUUCGGCUAGGGGGCCAUCCCGGCUUACCAACCCGAUGCAAACUGCGAAUACCGGAGAAUGUUAUCACGGGAGACACACGGCGGGUGCUAACGUCCGUCGUGAAGAGGGAAACAACCCAGACCGCCAGCUAAGGUCCCAAAGUCAUGGUUAAGUGGGAAACGAUGUGGGAAGGCCCAGACAGCCAGGAUGUUGGCUUAGAAGCAGCCAUCAUUUAAAGAAAGCGUAAUAGCUCACUGGUCGAGUCGGCCUGCGCGGAAGAUGUAACGGGGCUAAACCAUGCACCGAAGCUGCGGCAGCGACGCUUAUGCGUUGUUGGGUAGGGGAGCGUUCUGUAAGCCUGUGAAGGUGUGUCGUGAGGCAUGCUGGAGGUAUCAGAAGUGCGAAUGCUGACAUAAGUAACGAUAAAGCGGGUGAAAAGCCCGCUCGCCGGAAGACCAAGGGUUCCUGUCCAACGUUAAUCGGGGCAGGGUGAGUCGACCCCUAAGGCGAGGCCGAAAGGCGUAGUCGAUGGGAAACGGGUUAAUAUUCCCGUACUUGGUGUUACUGCGAAGGGGGGACGGAGAAGGCUAUGUUGGCCGGGCGACGGUUGUCCCGGUUUAAGCGUGUAGGUGUGUGUUCCAGGUAAAUCCGGUUCACUUUAACACUGAGGCGUGAUGACGAGGCACUACGGUGCUGAAGCAACAAAUGCCCUGCUUCCAGGAAAAGCCUCUAAGCAUCAGGUAACAUCAAAUCGUACCCCAAACCGACACAGGUGGUCAGGUAGAGAAUACCAAGGCGCUUGAGAGAACUCGGGUGAAGGAACUAGGCAAAAUGGUGCCGUAACUUCGGGAGAAGGCACGCUGACACGUAGGUGAAGUGAUUUACUCAUGGAGCUGAAGUCAGUCGAAGAUACCAGCUGGCUGCAACUGUUUAUUAAAAACACAGCACUGUGCAAACACGAAAGUGGACGUAUACGGUGUGACGCCUGCCCGGUGCCGGAAGGUUAAUUGAUGGGGUCAGCGCAAGCGAAGCUCCUGAUCGAAGCCCCGGUAAACGGCGGCCGUAACUAUAACGGUCCUAAGGUAGCGAAAUUCCUUGUCGGGUAAGUUCCGACCUGCACGAAUGGCGUAAUGAUGGCCAGGCUGUCUCCACCCGAGACUCAGUGAAAUUGAACUCGCUGUGAAGAUGCAGUGUACCCGCGGCAAGACGGAAAGACCCCGUGAACCUUUACUAUAGCUUGACACUGAACAUUGAGCCUUGAUGUGUAGGAUAGGUGGGAGGCUUUGAAGUGUGGACGCCAGUCUGCAUGGAGCCGACCUUGAAAUACCACCCUUUAAUGUUUGAUGUUCUAACGUGGACCCGUAAUCCGGGUUGCGGACAGUGUCUGGUGGGUAGUUUGACUGGGGCGGUCUCCUCCUAAAGAGUAACGGAGGAGCACGAAGGUUGGCUAAUCCUGGUCGGACAUCAGGAGGUUAGUGCAAUGGCAUAAGCCAGCUUGACUGCGAGCGUGACGGCGCGAGCAGGUGCGAAAGCAGGUCAUAGUGAUCCGGUGGUUCUGAAUGGAAGGGCCAUCGCUCAACGGAUAAAAGGUACUCCGGGGAUAACAGGCUGAUACCGCCCAAGAGUUCAUAUCGACGGCGGUGUUUGGCACCUCGAUGUCGGCUCAUCACAUCCUGGGGCUGAAGUAGGUCCCAAGGGUAUGGCUGUUCGCCAUUUAAAGUGGUACGCGAGCUGGGUUUAGAACGUCGUGAGACAGUUCGGUCCCUAUCUGCCGUGGGCGCUGGAGAACUGAGGGGGGCUGCUCCUAGUACGAGAGGACCGGAGUGGACGCAUCACUGGUGUUCGGGUUGUCAUGCCAAUGGCACUGCCCGGUAGCUAAAUGCGGAAGAGAUAAGUGCUGAAAGCAUCUAAGCACGAAACUUGCCCCGAGAUGAGUUCUCCCUGAGACUUAGAGUCUCCUGAAGGAACGUUGAAGACGACGACGUUGAUAGGCCGGGUGUGUAAGCGCAGCGAUGCGUUGAGCUAACCGGUACUAAUGAACCGUGAGGCUUAACCUUAC
rnacentral:rRNA from 1 species